ACAUUGGUGGUUCAGUUGUAGAAUUCUCACCUUCCGUGUGGGGGACUUGGGUUUGAUUCCUGGCCAAUGCA
rnacentral:tRNA from 1 species